GUCGUUGCCACGGUAAUCCUGUUAAGUACGAGAGGAAUUGCAGGUUCCGACAUUUGGUAUAUGUGCCUGGUCGAUCGGCCAAUGGUGCGAAGCUACCAUCUGAGGGAUUAAGACUGAACGCCUCUAAGUCUGAAUCCCAUCCAAAGAUGCAACGAU
rfam:Hymenolepis microstoma genomic scaffold, pathogens_HYM_scaffold_0518